GACGAACGCUGGCGGCGUGCUUAACACAUGCAAGUCGAACGGAAAGGCCCUGCUUUUGUGGGGUGCUCGAGUGGCGAACGGGUGAGUAACACGUGAGUAACCUGCCCUUGACUUUGGGAUAACUUCAGGAAACUGGGGCUAAUACCGGAUAGGAGCUCCUGCUGCAUGGUGGGGGUUGGAAAGUUUCGGCGGUUGGGGAUGGCCUCGCGGCUUAUCAGCUUGUUGGUGGGGUAGUGGCUUACCAAGGCUUUGACGGGUAGCCGGACUGAGAGGGUGGCCGGCCACAUUGGGACUGAGAUACGGCCCAGACUCCUACGGGAGGAAGCAGUGGGGAAUAUUGCACAAUGGGCGGAAGCCUGAUGCAGCAACGCCGCGUGCGGGAUGACGGCCUUCGGGUUGUAAACCGCUUUCGCCUGUGACGAAGCGUGAGUGACGGUAAUGGGUAAAGAAGCACCGGCUAACUACGUG
rnacentral:rRNA from 1 species